GUUAGUUACUGCAUGAAAUCUUGAUUGGGGAACCACUACACAACCAGCUGCAGUGAAGGGAAGCUUUGCAGCACCUUACACAAGGUAUUGCAGGGAAUGUAAAUAAAGCAGGAAGACUACUGGAAGGAACACCCUGCAUGACUGAAUCCAGUUUCCUGCUAGCGCAGUCAGACAUAGGUAAGGGAUUGUAACAUAAAUUGAUCAAGCAACAUCUCAGAAGCAGAUAGGAUCUUUAUGUUGACUCUGCUGUGUAAAAAUGCUGGGAUUCUGCUCUAGAACAC
rnacentral:lncRNA from 1 species